rnacentral:rRNA from 1 species
AUUGAACGCUGGCGGCAGGCCUAACACAUGCAAGUCGAGCGAGCGGCGGACGGGUGUGUAAUGUAUGGGGACUGCCCGUUAGAGGGGGAUAACUACUGGAAACGGUGGCUAAUACCGCAUACUAUCCGAUAACCCAUCUGGGAUUAGCUAGUAGGUGGGGUAAAGGCUCACCUAGGCGACGAUCUCUCGCUGGUCUGAGAGGAUGAUCAGCAACACUGGGACGGAGACACGGCCCAAACUCCUACGGAGGCGGCAGUGGGGAAUAUUGCACAAUGGGCGCAAGCCUGAUGAAGCCAUGCCGCGUGUAUGAAGAAGGCCUUAGGGUUGUAAAGUACGUUCAGCGGGGAGGCGUUACCCGAAGAAGAAGCACCGGCUAACUACGUGCCAGCAGCCGCGGUAAUAC